ACUGGCUUUUAAAAAGUAAAUUUAUUACCACACAUAAUCAGUCCAGAGAGUAGAGAGAUUCCAUCAUGUCAUCAAGACCCAUGAUAAAUCUUUAAACAUUUUGAUUUUUUUGAACUUUACACUGUCACUCUCAACAUAUGGGUCUCAUACUUUGGCUGGUUCCUCUGCAGUGCCUCAAACUCUGUCCCCUGAGCAGAAAGCCGGGGCUGUAUUUACCCAAGUGGCUCUGCCCUGCACUUUUCAUAAUUGUCUCACAUUUAGGACAAAGCUGCAGGUAG
rnacentral:lncRNA from 10 species